GCUGGGAUAGCUCAGUUGGUAGAGCAUUUGCCUGAAGAGCAAGGGGUCGGCAGUUCGAGCCUGCCUCCCAGCACAA
rnacentral:tRNA from 1 species